CCACAUUGAAUACGUCCCCGGGUCUUGUACACACCGCCCGUCACGUCAUGAAAGUCGGGGGCACCCGAAGUGCUUAUUUACUAAGCCCUAAGGUGAACUCGGUAAUUGGGACG
rnacentral:rRNA from 1 species